rnacentral:rRNA from 1 species
GACGAACGCUGGCGGCGUGCUUAACACAUGCAAGUCGAACGGAAAGGCCCUGCUUUGGUGGGGUGCUCGAGUGGCGAACGGGUGAGUAACACGUGAGUAACCUGCCCUUGACUUUGGGAUAACUUCAGGAAACUGGGGCUAAUACCGGAUAGGAGCUCCUGCUGCAUGGUGGGGGUUGGAAAGUUUGGGCGGUUGGGGAUGGACUCGCGGCUUAUCAGCUUGUUGGUGGGGUAGUGGCUUACCACGGCUUUGACGGGUAGCCGGCCUGGGAGGGUGACCGGCCACCUUGGGCCUGAGAUACGGCCCAGAAUCCUACGUGAGGCAGCGGUGGGGAAUAUUGCACAGUGGGCGGAAGCCUGAUGCGACAACUCCGCGUGCGGGAUGACGGCCUUCGGGUUGUAAACCGCUUUCGCAUGUAACGAAGCGUGAGUGACGGUAAUGGGUAAAGAAGCACCGGCUAACUACGUG